GAACGCUGGCGGCAUGCCUUACACAUGCAAGUCGAACGGUAGAGUAGCAAUACUUGAGAGUGGCGAACGGGUGAGUAAUAUAUCGGAACGUGCCCAGUCGUGGGGGGAUAACGUAGAGAAAUUUACGCUAAUACCGCAUACGAUCUAAGGAUGAAAGCGGGGGAUUCGCAAGAACCUCGCGCGAUUGGAGCGGCUGAUAUCAGAUUAGGUUGUUGGUGAGGUAAAAGCUCACCAAGCCGACGAUCUGUAGCUGGUCUGAGAGGACGACCAGCCACACUGGGACUGAGACACGGCCCCAGACUCCUACGGGAGGCAGCAGUGGGGAAUUUUGGACAAUGGGCGCAAGCCUGAUCCAGCAAUGCCGCGUGCAGGAUGAAGGCCUUCGGGUUGUAAACUGCUUUUGUACGGAACGAAACGGUGAGCUCUAAUACAGUUUGCUAAUGACGGUACCGUAAGAAUAAGCACCGGCUAACUACGUG
rnacentral:rRNA from 1 species